UACGUAGGGUGCGAGCGUUGCCCGGAUUUAUUGGGCGUAAAGGGCGCGCAGGCGGCUACGCACGUCCGUUGUGAAAUCGCUCGGCUCAACUGGGCGGGUCAGCGGAUACGGCGUAGCUGGAGCAAGCUAGGGGCAAUGGAAUUCCCGGUGUAGUGGUGGAAUGCGUAGAUAUCGGGAGGAACACCAGUGGCGAAGGCAGCUCGCUGGGACGUGACUGACGCUGAGACGCGAAAGCGUGGGGAGCAAACAGG
rnacentral:rRNA from 1 species